AACGAACGCUGGCGGCAGGCCUAACACAUGCAAGUCGAACGCCCCGCAAGGGGAGUGGCAGACGGGUGAGUAACACGUGGGAACGUACCCUUCGGUUCGGGAUAACUCAGGGAAACUUGAGCUAAUACCGGAUACGUCCGAGAGGAGAAAGAUUUAUCGCCGAGGGAUCGGCCCGCGUCUGAUUAGCUUGUUGGUGAGGUAACGGCUCACCAAGGCGACGAUCAGUAGCUGGUCUGAGAGGAUGGCCAGCCACAUUGGGACUGAGAGACGGCCCAGACUCCUACGGGAGGCAGCAGUGGGAAUCUUGCGCAAUGGCCGAAAGGCUGACGCAGCGACGCCGCGUGUGGGAGGACGCC
rnacentral:rRNA from 1 species